rnacentral:tRNA from 2 species
GUCGGAUAGCUCAGCUGGUAGAGCAGAGGACUGAAAAUC